AUCCAGAUUACGAGUCCCAAAUAGGACGAAACACGCGUCCUGGAU
rnacentral:hammerhead_ribozyme from 1 species